rnacentral:rRNA from 1 species
UAGGGAAUCUUCCGCAAUGGGCGAAAGCCUGCCGGAGCAACGCCGCGUGAGUGAUGAAGGUCUUCGGAUCGUAAAACUCUGUUAUUAGGGAAGAACAAAUGUGUAAGUAACUAUGCACGUCUUGACGGUACCUAAUCAGAAAGCCACGGCUAACUACGUGCCAGCAGCCGCGGUAAUACGUAGGUGGCAAGCGUUAUCCGGAAUUAUUGGGCGUAAAGCGCGCGUAGGCGGUUUUUUAAGUCUGAUGUGAAAGCCCACGGCUCAACCGUGGAGGGUCAUUGGAAACUUGAAAACUUGAGUGCAGAAGAGGAAAGUGGAAUUCCAUGUAUAGCGGUGAAAUGCGCAGAGAUAUGGAGGAACACCAGUGGCGAAGGCGACUUUCUGGUCUGUAACUGACGCUGAUGUGCGAAAGCGUGGGGAUCAAACAGG